AGAGUUUGAUCCUGGCUCAGGACGAACGCUGGCGGCGUGCUUAACACAUGCAAGUCGAACGUGAUUUUUGUGGAAAUUCUUUCGGGAAUGGAAAUGAAAUGAAAGUGGCGAACGGGUGAGUAACACGUGAGCAACCUACCUUACACAGGGGGAUAGCCGUUGGAAACGACGAUUAAUACCGCAUGAGACCACAGAAUCGCAUGAUAUAGGGGUCAAAGAUUUAUCGGUGUAAGAAGGGCUCGCGUCUGAUUAGCUAGUUGGAAGGGUAAAGGCCUACCAAGGCGACGAUCAGUAGCCGGUCUGAGAGGAUGAACGGCCACAUUGGAACUGAGACACGGUCCAAACUCCUACGGGAGGCAGCAGUGGGGAAUAUUGCACAAUGGGGGGAACCCUGAUGCAGCGACGCCGCGUGAGCGAAGAAGGUUUUCGAAUCGUAAAGCUCUGUCCUAUGAGAAGAUAAUGACGGUAUCAUAGGAGGAAGCCCCGGCUAAAUACGUGCCAGCAGCCGCGGUAAUACGUAUGGGGCGAGCGUUGUCCGGAAUUAUUGGGCGUAAAGGGUACGUAGGCGGUUUUUUAAGUCAGGUGUGAAAGCGUGAGGCUUAACCUCAUUAAGCACUUGAAACUGGAAGACUUGAGUGAAGGAGAGGAAAGUGGAAUUCCUAGUGUAGCGGUGAAAUGCGUAGAUAUUAGGAGGAAUACCGGUGGCGAAGGCGACUUUCUGGACUUUUACUGACGCUCAGGUACGAAAGCGUGGGGAGCAAACAGGAUUAGAUACCCUGGUAGUCCACGCCGUAAACGAUGAG
rnacentral:rRNA from 1 species